rnacentral:sRNA from 1 species
AGGGACUGGGCCGUCGGUCACCUGCAGGGGCGGGGCUGCAGGAAAACUUUAUUCUCAAGAGAUUUCUCAUUCCGCAGAAAUAAGGAUCUGGCAUGUCAACACAAACAUAGGAAGUUGAUGCAGUCAAAGGGAAGUAACUGCUACCCUGACUCUGCUGAGAGCCUCACAAGUCCCUGUGCACGCCAGCUUAUUUGCCAGUGAGUGGUGUCAUGAUAAGACAAAAUUCUCUGCUCUGAGACCUAAGCACAUGAAGUUUUUAAAAAAAUUUUCUCUGGGAAGAUCCCAUUUUUUACUCUAAAAGAUCAGACCAGUGUGGCAUGUGUGGAACUGCUCUGUACCAAGAUCACACUCUUCAGUUGGAGAAGAGGAAGGGCAGGAAUAAAUAAAGGGCUUUCCUGUCUCCCGAGGGAGCAGAGAAAGCUUUCUCUGUCCUCUUCCUUCCCCAGCCACAGCCUGGGGUUGGGGGACUGGAAACAAGCUCAGGCUAGCACUUGAUGUUCAGACGGUAGUCUGAAAGUUUGACUAGGGAGUUAAUGAUCUGACCAGAGAGACAGGUUUUUAUUUUGAGAACUGACAAGCUUUGUGUCCUUAAAACAAAGGAAGUAAUUAAACCAAGGCCACAGAAAGAAAAAUUCACUGCAUGUAACUAUGACCACGCAUGAUUUUAUCAGAAGUUGAUUAGAAUCUGUAACAUUUUCUGUAGUUCAGCUGACACACUGAAGAUGUCCUCACUGUGACCAGCCUUGUCAACAGCUGGAUCACAGUGACAUAGGCUGUGUCUAGGAUGAGUCUUGCGGUCUGCAGCCGUGUGAGGCUGCAUCUGAUUCCCAAGUCCAAUGGCUCUCUUCCCGUGUUUACAGAUCAGGCCAUGACCUUUCCCUACAGCAGGAUGUUUGCAAGAUUAACUCUCAACUGAGGAAUUUGCUUAUUUGCUCUAAUACUGCUUGGUUGAGAGAGUUCAAAGUAGAAAGUCUUCUGAGGGGAUAAGAUUCAUGUAUUAUUUACAGUGCUUCAGUUGCAUGUAUCAGAAAAUCUAGUCUAAAUUGCUUUAACAGAAAAAGAUGUUGCUGGUCCAUUUGACGAAGAAGUCCAGAGCGGCUUGUGACUUCAGUCUGGCUUUGCAGAGCCCAGGUGCUCUCUCCACCUCCUGCCAGGUUCCCCUAUGAAGGCUUUGCUCUCAGACUCUCCCCUUGUGGAGACAAAAAUCCCACAGCAAGUGGAAACCGAAGUGCCUUGGAAAAAGUUAUUCUGGCAGCUCCUAUACAAGUCCCCCAUCAGAUGCUGGUAUUGGACCAGCUUUGGUUAUAAAGCCCUGCUGUGGCACAAAAAGGAAUGUCGUCCUGAUACAGCAGCCUCGGGUCACCCAAUCCACUCCAGAUACUAUGGCUGCAGCAUCAAUGUAAGCAGACAAGUUGUGCUGCCUCUGAAAUAAAGUAGAUGAAAUAUUCAGCAGCAGAAAGAACAAGUUUCCACUCCAGUGAACUAAUUCAAAUGUAUCCAGCAUCUAGAUAUAUGUAUAAAUGUAAUUAAAACAUAUUGAGCAUCUAGAGCAUCUCUCCCAAGAUAAUUACCACCUGAUAGUAAUGGCUAUAAAAGCUAAAAGUGGAAUCAGUCUACAUGUUUAGCAAUAGGAAUCAAUUGAAGCAUACAUCAAAAUGCAGACAGUAGUAUUGUGAAUAACCCUAUACCUUCCAAUUUGAAAUCAGAAGCAAAAAAGGCUGCCAAAAUAUUAAGAGAAUUCACAGAAAUAACUUCCAGAAAUGGACCUGAUAAGAUCAUUCCUGCUCACGUAAUUGCGAAGGCUAAAGGCCUUGCAAUUCUGUCUGUGAUCAAAGCCGGGUUCCUGGUGACUGCCAGAGGAGGCAGCGGGAUUGUAGUGGCGCGCCUUCCAGAUGGAAAAUGGUCUGCACCCUCAGCCAUUGGGAUAGCUGGCCUUGGUGGAGGAUUUGAAAUAGGAAUUGAGGUAUCAGACUUGGUGAUAAUUCUGAAUUAUGACCGUGCUGUAGAAGCUUUUGCAAAAGGCGGAAAUCUAACCCUCGGAGGGAACUUGACUGUGGCGGUUGGGCCCUUGGGAAGGAACUUGGAAGGAAACGUGGCCCUGAGAAGCUCCGCUGCUGUCUUCACAUACUGCAAGUCGAGGGGACUCUUUGCAGGCGUGUCUUUAGAAGGGAGCUGUUUGAUUGAAAGGAAAGAAACUAAUAGAAAAUUUUAUUGUCAAGAUAUCCGAGCUUAUGACAUUUUAUUUGGAGAUACACCGCGGCCUGCUCAAGCCGAAGAUCUUUAUGAAAUUCUUGAUUCCUUUACUGAAAAGUAUGAAAAUGAAGGACAACGAAUCAAUGCAAGAAAAGCAGCAAGGGAGCAGAGGAAGUCUUCUGCUAAAGAAUUACCUCCAAAGCCAUUGUCAAGAUCACAGCAGUCAUCUGCACCAGUCCAGCUGAACUCUGGCUCUCAAAGUAACAGAAAUGAAUAUAAGCUCUAUCCUGGACUUUCCAGCUAUCAUGAGAGAGUUGGCAAUUUGAAUCAACCCAUAGAAGUGACAGCGCUGUAUUCAUUUGAAGGACAGCAGCCUGGGGAUUUGAAUUUUCAAGCUGGAGACAGAAUCACAGUUAUAUCAAAAACAGAUUCACAUUUUGAUUGGUGGGAAGGAAAACUUCGAGGUCAAACUGGCAUUUUUCCAGCCAACUAUGUAACCAUGAAUUAAAGCGUAUACUAUUUUCUUCUUUGAGAAUUACAAAAAAA